CUGGCGGCGUGCCUAAUACAUGCAAGUCGAGCGGACCGACGGGAGCUUGCUCCCUUAGGUCAGCGGCGGACGGGUGAGUAACACGUGGGUAACCUGCCUGUAAGACUGGGAUAACUCCGGGAAACCGGGGCUAAUACCGGAUGCUUGAUUGAGCCGCAUGGUUCAAUUAUAAAAGGUGGCUUUCAGCUACCACUUACAGAUGGACCCGCGGCGCAUUAGCUAGUUGGCGAGGUAACGGCUCACCAAGGCGACGAUGCGUAGCCGACCUGAGAGGGUGAUCGGCCACACUGGGACUGAGACACGGCCCAGACUCCUACGGGAGGCAGCAGUAGGGAAUCUUCCGCAAUGGACGAAAGUCUGACGGAGCAACGCCGCGUGAAGUGAUGAAGGUUUUCGGAUCGUAAAACUCUGUUGUUAGGGAAGAACAAGUGCCGUUCGAAUAGGGCGGCACCUUGACGGUACCUAACCAGAAAGCCACGGCUAACUACGUGCCAGCCGCUGC
rnacentral:rRNA from 1 species